UGUGACCUGUCACCCCCUCACUCUAGUGACAGAGUGAGGGAGGGGGUGAUUAGUGUCAUAGAGAGGGAGGGGGUGACUAGUGACAGAGUGAGGGAGGUGAUGAUUAGUGACAGAGGGAGGGAUGGGGUGACUAGUGACAGUCACCCCCUCCUUCACUUUGUCACUGUGUCACCCCCUCCCUCACUCUGUCAUCGUGUCACCCCCUUCCUCACUGUCACUAGUCACCCCUUCCUUCCCUCACUCUGCCACUAGUCACCCCUUCCCUCACUCUGUCACCUGUCACCCCUUCACUCUAGUGACA